rnacentral:lncRNA from 1 species
CCCAAGACCUUCACUAACUCAUUUGAAAUUGGUUUAAGCUGUUUCUCUAUUCACUGCUGCCAUGAGUUGCUAGUAUUAUAACCUAAUAAAUUUUUGUUGUUGUUCAGUCAUUUCAGUCAUAUACAACUUUUUGUGAUGUCAUUUGGGGUUUUCUUGAGCAGAGAUACCAGGAUGAUUUCCCAUUUCAUUCUCUUGCUUAUUUUACAGAUGAGGAGGCAAAACUGAGGCAAUCAGGAUUAGGUGACCUGCCCAGAAACACAAAACUAAUGAGAAAACUGAAGAAUAGAGGUUAAAUGACUUGCCCAAUGACAUAUUGGUAAUUCUAAGGAGCAGAGUCAGAUACAGCAGGAACUAAGGCUGAUGCUACAUGAAGCUCUCUGUCAAGGAUCUCCAAACUGAAUGACAAAAUCUCUCAGGGAUAAUAUGCAUUCAGCAACCUGGAAGUAAGUUGCUGUUGAGAGAAAGAAAAAAGAAAGACAAGAAGCAAAAGAAAGAACACAAAAAGAAAGGAAGGGAGCCAUGAAGAAAAGAAGGAUGUAAGGUACUAAGGAAAACAAAUGAGUAUAAUCAGAAACACCCCUCCCUUCCCUAUUGGCUCUGGCUAAUGUGCACCUUAUGAGACAUACCUGAAAAAAGCCCCUUCUGAGGAUACAUUUGAACUGGCUCCUUUCCUCAGAUGGUGCUUAG